UUUCCGUAGGUGAACCUGCGGAAGGAUCAUUAUUGUAUAACCGAGGUGCGAGGGCUGUCGCUGACCCGAAAGGUCGUGCACGCCCGAGUGCCCUCACACACAUCCAUCUCACCCCUCUGAGCACCACCGCGUGGGUCCCCCUUUGGCUUGUUCGGAGGGGGGCUUACGUUUUCACACAAACUUUGUAUGCAGUGUAGAAUGUAUUUUUUGUUUUUGCGAUCACGCAAUCAAUACAACUUUCAACAACGGAUCUCUUGGCUCUC
rnacentral:misc_RNA from 1 species